rnacentral:rRNA from 1 species
AACGAACGCUGGCGGCAUGCCUAACACAUGCAAGUCGAACGAGACCUUCGGGUCUAGUGGCGCACGGGUGCGUAACGCGUGGGAAUCUGCCCUUGGGUUCGGAAUAACAGUUAGAAAUGACUGCUAAUACCGGAUAAUGUCUUCGGACCAAAGAUUUAUCGCCCAGGGAUGAGCCCGCGUAGGAUUAGCUAGUUGGUGAGGUAAAGGCUCACCAAGGCGACGAUCCUUAGCUGGUCUGAGAGGAUGAUCAGCCACACUGGGACUGAGACACGGCCCAGACUCCUACGGGAGGCAGCAGUGGGGGAAUAUUGGGACAAUGGGCGGAAAGCCUGAUCCAGCAAUGCCGCGUGAGUGAUGAAGGCCUUAGGGUUGUAAAGCUCUUUUACCCGGGUAUGAUAAUGACAGUACCGGGAGAAUAAAGCUCCGGCUAACUCCGUGCCCAGCAGCCGCGGUAAU